CGUCGCAUCGCCGUUGGGAUAUUUUUACCAGUGUUACCCACACAAACUUAUUAGUGCUCCUGUGAUCGCCCAGGCCUGAUCCAAACAAACGAGAAACGACGACUUUGUCACCAUCUGAUGAUGCAGUGUAGAAGACUGCAAAAUCUUCGUGUAUGUUCACGUGGUAACUGCCAAGUAGCUUACAGGCCGAUUCCCAAGGAGAAGAUUGAACAAGUGAAAGCUUUAACCCGAUCCAACGGCUAAUGGUUUGCCUAAGAGGAAUCCGCCUUCAACUCCACAUCGUGAGGGAAGAGAUGAAAAUGUUUCAGAUUAUCUAUUCUUUCGUGACGCCAUUGAGGGUUGCAAAGGGUGCCAACGCUGUCACAUCUUAAAGGUGGGGGAGGUGGCGCUCCUGAUCUAUUAGUGAAGAC